AGUGAACGCUGGCGGUAGGCCUAACACAUGCAAGUCGAACGGCAGCACAGUAAGAGCUUGCUCUUACGGGUGGCGAGUGGCGGGCGGGUGAGGAAUACAUCGGAAUCUACUUUUUCGGGGGGGAUAACGUAGGGAAACUUACGCUAAUACCGCAUACGACCUACGGGUGAAAGCAGGGGAUCUUCGGACCUUGCGCGAUUGAAUGAGCCGAUGUCGGAUUAGCUGGUUGGCGGGGUAAAGGCCCACCAAGGCGACGAUCCGUAGCUGGACUGAGAGGAUGAUCAGCCACAUGGGAACUGAGACACGGUCCAGACUCCUACGGGAGGCAGCAGUGGGGAAUAUUGGACAAUGGGCGGAAGCCUGACCCAGCCAUACCGCGUGGGUGAAGAAGGCCUUCGGGUUGUAAAGCCCUUUUGUUGGGAAAGAAAAGCAGCAGGUUAAUACCCCGCUGUUCUGACGGUACCCAAAGAAUAAGCACCGGCUAACUUCGUG
rnacentral:rRNA from 1 species